rnacentral:rRNA from 1 species
ACGGAAGGCAGCAGUGGGGAAUAUUGCGCAAUGGGGGAAACCCUGAUGCAGCAACGCCGCGUGAGUGAUGACGGUCUUCGGAUUGUAAAGCUCUGUCUUUAGGGACGAUAAUGACGGUACCUAAGGAGGAAGCCACGGCUAACUACGUGCCAGCAGCCGCGGUAAUACGUAGGUGGCAAGCGUUGUCCGGAUUUACUGGGCGUAAAGGGAGCGUAGGUGGAUAUUUAAGUGGGAUGUGAAAUACCCGGGCUUAACCUGGGUGCUGCAUUCCAAACUGGAUAUCUAGAGUGCAGGAGAGGAAAGGAGAAUUCCUAGUGUAGCGGUGAAAUGCGUAGAGAUUAGGAAGAAUACCAGUGGCGAAGGCGCCUUUCUGGACUGUAACUGACACUGAGGCUCGAAAGCGUGGGGAGCGAACAGGAUUAGAUACCCUGGUA